rnacentral:tRNA from 1 species
GCUUCGAUAGCUCAGUGGUAGAGCGAGAGAUUGCAGUCACGUCUACAAAUAUCUCUAGGUCACGUGUUCGAACCACGUUCGGAGCU